CACAUGCAAGUCGAGCGGCAGCAUGGGAGAUUGCGUCUCUCGAGGUUGGCGACGGACGGAUGAGUGAGGAAUGCAUUAACAUGCCUGCUGACUGGGAUAACUCCGGGAAAAAGCUUAUAAUAAUACCAUGGUUGACCUACGGGUGAAAGCAGGGGACCUUCGGGCCUUGCGCGAUUGAAUGAGCCGAUGUCGGAUUAGCUAUUUGGCGGUGUAAAGGCCCAGCAAGGCCACGAUCCGUAUCUGGUCUGAAAGGAUGAUCAUGCUCACUGGAACUGAGACACGGUCCAGACUCCUACUCCAGGCAGCAGUGGGGAAUAUUGGACAAUGGGCGCGAGCCUGAUCCAGACAUACCGCGUGGGUGAAAAAGGCCUUCGGUUUGUAAAGCCAUUUUGUUGGUAAAGAAAUCCAGCUGGCUAAUAUCCGGUUGGGAUGACGGUUCCCAAAAAAUAACCACCAGCUAACUUCGAGCUACCAGCCGCGGUAAGACGAAGGACGCAAGCGUUACUCGUAAUUACUGAUCAUAGAGCGUGCGGAGCUGGUCGGUUAAUUCC
rnacentral:rRNA from 2 species